rnacentral:rRNA from 1 species
GACGAACGCUGGCGGCGUGCUUAACACAUGCGAGUCGAACGAUGAAGCCCAGCUUGCUGGGUGGAAGAGUGGCGAACGGGUGAGUAACACGUGAGUAACCUGCCCUGAACUCUGGGAUAAGCACUGGAAACGGUGUCUAAUACUGGAUACGACCUAUCACCGCAUGGUGUGUGGGUGGAAAGAUUUAUCGGUUCUGGAUGGACUCGCGGCCUAUCAGCUAGAUGGUGAGGUAAUGGCUCACCAUGGCGACGACGGGUAGCCGGCCUGAGAGGGUGACCGGCCACACUGGGACUGAGACACGGCCCAGACUCCUACGGGAGGCAGCAGUGGGGAAUAUUGCACAAUGGGCGCAAGCCUGAUGCAGCAACGCCGCGUGAGGGAUGACGGCCUUCGGGUUGUAAACCUCUUUUAGUAGGGAAGAAGCGAAAGUGACGGUACCUGCAGAAAAAGCACCGGCUAACUACGUG